UACGAAGGGGGCUAGCGUUGCUCGGAAUCACUGGGCGUAAAGCGCACGUAGGCGGAUUGUUAAAUCAGGGGUGAAAUCCUGGAGCUCAACUCCAGAACUGCCUUUGAUACUGACGGUCUUGAGUCCGGGAGAGGUGAGUGGAACUCCGAGUGUAGAGGUGAAAUUCGUAGAUAUUCGGAAGAACACCAGUGGCGAAGGCGGCUCACUGGCCCGGUACUGACGCUGAGGUGCGAAAGCGUGGGGAGCAAACAGG
rnacentral:rRNA from 1 species